rnacentral:rRNA from 1 species
UACAGAGGGUGCGAGCGUUGUUCGGAAUUAUUGGGCGUAAAGGGCGCGUAGGCGGUGCGGUAAGUCACCUGUGAAAUCUCCUGGCUCAACUGGGAGCUUGCAGGCGAAACUGCCGUGCUGGAGUGUGGGAGAGGUGCGUGGAAUUCCUGGUGUAGCGGUGAAAUGCGUAGAUAUCAGGAGGAACACAUGUGGCGAAAGCGGCGCACUGGACCAUAACUGACGCUGAUGCGCGAAAGCUAGGGGAGCAAACAGG